GUUGCCAUAGUAGCAAGGUUGUAAAGUUACAACCUCCUGAGGUGAUGUAGGUCCACCUCGCCUGAAAACUCUUAUAUAAAUAUUUAUGUGCACAAAAUAACCUUUUUUUAAUUGUUUACAAGCUUUACCAGCAAGGAAGCAUGGUUUUGUGAUGCAUAAAGUGAAAUCUUGCAUGGAACACUGAAAACAAAUGAAGAGGCUGAUUUGUCCCACACGUGCGCACUCCCCAUUCCCCCACCCACUAACAAGUGUGUACUGUGAUUACGUAUUGUUUUCGUCGUUUCUUGUGCAUAUAUUGGAUAUUUUCUUAACAUACUACCACGUUCGUGCCUUGAGGCAAGAAAGGCGCUUUCAGGAUCGCCACGACCCCUUGGCAUUGAGUGAUAAUGAGCUCAUGAUCAAAUAUCGCUUCCCGCGGCAGACCUACUAAACCUCUUGUUUGAGGAGAUGCAGCCUCAGCUGGAGAGAAGGACAAGGCAUAGCCAGGCAUUACCAACUCACACCCAGGUUCUGCUGGCCCAGAGACUGUUUGCCAGUGGGCCCUUCCAAAACGUCAUUGGAGACACUGCUGGACCUAUGCAAGCAAGUGUCAGCAGGGUCUUCAAGUGUGUGUGUGCACCGUGUUGAGUGAUAAGUCAGUGCAGGAAAUCAAGAUGCCUCCAACACACCUUGAUCAAAGGAGAACUGCACACCAGUUCUUCAGGAUUAAAAAUUUCCUAACGGUUAUUGGGGCCAUUGAUGGCAGCCACAUUACCAUGAAGGAGCAAAGUGUGGAUGAGGCCCUCUACUUGAACUGGAAAAGGUAUCACUCCCUCUGAACAUCCAACUUGUUUGUGAUGCAAGUGAAGUGAUCCUCAGCUACUGCUCCAGAUUGCCAGGUGCCUGCACUCUUGUGGAGGUGGCUUGCAGUACAGACCCAUCAAGUGUGUCAAAAUAAUUAAUACUUGCCUGCUCCUACACAACUGCUGCAUCAAGUUCCUGAUGACAUAUCUACCACCUCUUGAGGAUGAAACAGUGCCCCAUGCUGAUACCAACCCUGCUGUGCUGUAGAGGGGUCAGUGUGCUUCAGGCAGAAUUGUGUAGCAAGAAAUCAUACAAAACUUCUUCCAGCACUGAAGUAAGGAAGUGAGAUUGUCAAAGUGCCUGGGACAUGUUCUGUACAGCCAGCUGCACCAUCACCAGCUCGUCCAUACUCAGACUAAUCUGCUGUUGGGUUUCCUGUGCUUGAGAGAGAACUUCCAAGUCAGAGUGGCCAUCUGAAAUACAGUUUAGAAGCAAACAUGACUACACCUCAAGUUACAAAAUGAUACAGCAUUGUCAAAUCCAGAGGCCCCUGUGGACCCAGCGACACCAGCAGAAGAGGGUUGGAUGGCUCCAACACCACUGCUGGUGGAAGGCUGUGGUCCUAGAGGCCCUGACACUUCUGGAGAAAAAAAAAAAAAAAGCUGUCAUUACUGCAGGGUAUGGCAGUCCUGCAAAUGUUGUGUGAGACAACAUCCACAGCAUGACCAACUCCACAGCAGUGUGUGUUGUCUCAUCUGGAGGCCCCCACCUGCAUGGAUAUGAAUGUUGCAAUUAUCAUCCACUUAGAAGUUCACAUGUAAAGCCAAAUCAACUUGGUGUAAAUCAUGAAUGCAUUAGAGCACAAUAAUGUUAUCUAGCACUGCAGUGGUCAUUGUCUCAGACCUGACUGCCAGAGGUACUGUACAUACUCCUAUUUAUAAUCCAUUGCUUAGUUGGUCUUGGUUAUGUUUAUUGACUAUAUGGGUAAAUUUUGUAACAGCACCAAUAAUUAAAUACAUGUACACAAGAGCAAACUUCUUUUUAUACAACUGCAGGGGUUUUAAGCACUGCUAACAAUCACCUAACCUAACUAACCUAACCUAACCUAACCCUCCUUCCUCAACAAAGUAAAACCAAUGUUCAAGAAAUAAAAUUUAUUACAGCAGUUUGUGUCCCAAAGGCUGACCAGAAAGAAA